UACGAAGGGGGCUAGCGUUGUUCGGAAUUACUGGGCGUAAAGGGCGCGUAGGCUGUGCUGUAAGUCAGGCGUGAAAGGCCCGGGCUCAACCUGGGAACUGCGUUUGAUACUGCGGCGCUGGAAUGCAGGAGAGGAUGGCGGAAUUCCCAGUGUAGAGGUGAAAUUCGUAGAUAUUGGGAAGAACACCGGUGGCGAAGGCGGCCAUCUGGCCUGCAAUUGACGCUGAGAAGCGAAAGCAUGGGGAGCGAACAGG
rnacentral:rRNA from 1 species